ACGGGAGGCAGCAGUGGGGAAUCUUGGGCAAUGGGGGAAACCCUGACCCAGCGACGCCGCGUGGGGGAUGAAGGCCCUCGGGUUGUAAACCCCUGUUAGGUGGGACGAACAUCCUCCGGCAAAUAGCUGGGGGAGCUGACGGUACCACCAGAGAAAGCCCCGGCUAACUCCGUGCCAGCAGCCGCGGUAAUACGGAGGGGGCGAGUGUUGUUCGGAAUUACUGGGCGUAAAGGGCGCGCAGGCGGCUUGGCAAGUCGAGUGUGAAAUCCCUUGGCUUAACUGAGGAAUGGCGCUCGAAACUACCUCGCUGGAGGGCGGGAGAGGGAAGUGGAACUCUCGGUGUAGGGGUGAAAUCUGUAGAUAUCGAGAGGAACACCGGUGGCGAAGGCGGCUUCCUGGCCCGUACCUGACGCUGAGGCGCGAAAGCGUGGGGAGCAAACAGGAUUAGAUACCCUGGUA
rnacentral:rRNA from 1 species